rnacentral:rRNA from 1 species
GGGAUUAGUGGCGAACGGGUGAGUAACACGUGGGCAAUCUGCCCUGCACUCUGGGACAAGCCCUGGAAACGGGGUCUAAUACCGGAUACGACGCGUUCCCGCAUGGGAUACGCGUGGAAAGCUCCGGCGGUGCAGGAUGAGCCCGCGGCCUAUCAGCUUGUUGGUGGGGUGAUGGCCUACCAAGGCGACGACGGGUAGCCGGCCUGAGAGGGCGACCGGCCACACUGGGACUGAGACACGGCCCAGACUCCUACGGGAGGCAGCAGUGGGGAAUAUUGCACAAUGGGCGCAAGCCUGAUGCAGCGACGCCGCGUGAGGGAUGACGGCCUUCGGGUUGUAAACCUCUUUCAGCAGGGAAGAAGCGUGAGUGACGGUACCUGCAGAAGAAGCGCCGGCUAACUACGUGCCAGCAGCCGCGGUAAUACGUAGGGCGCAAGCGUUGUCCGGAAUUAUUGGGCGUAAAGAGCUCGUAGGCGGCUUGUCGCGUCGGAUGUGAAAGCCCGGGGCUUAACUCCGGGUCUGCAUUCGAUACGGGCAGGCUAGAGUUCGGUAGGGGAGAUCGGAAUUCCUGGUGUAGCGGUGAAAUGCGCAGAUAUCAGGAGGAACACCGGUGGCGAAGGCGGAUCUCUGGGCCGAUACUGACGCUGAGGAGCGAAAGCGUGGGGAGCGAACAGGAUUAGAUACCCUGGUAGUCCACGCCGUAAACGUUGGGAACUAGG